CAGUCGCCACGGGAAUACGAAGGGUGCAAGCGUUACUCGGAAUUACUGGGCGUAAAGCGUGCGUAGGUGGUGGUUUAAGUCCGUUGUGAAAGCCCUGGGCUCAACCUGGGAAUUGCGGUGGAUACUGGGUCACUAGAGUGUGGUAGAGGAUAGUGGAAUUUCCGGUGUAGCAGUGAAAUGCGUAGAGAUCGGAAGGAACAUCUGUGGCGAAGGCGACUAUCUGGGCCAACACUGACACUGAGGCACGAAAGCGUGGGGAGCAAACAGGAUUAGAUACCCGCGUAGUCCCUGUCUCUUAUAC
rnacentral:rRNA from 1 species